CCUACGGGCGGCUGCAGUGGGGAAUAUUGGACAAUGGGGGGAACCCUGAUCCAGCCAUGCCGCGUGUGUGAAGAAGGCCCUCGGGUUGUAAAGCACUUUCAGUGAGGAAGAACGCCUGGUGGUUAAUACCCAUCAGGAAAGACAUCACUCACAGAAGAAGCACCGGCUAACUCCGUGCCAGCAGCCGCGGUAAUACGGAGGGUGCGAGCGUUAAUCGGAAUUACUGGGCGUAAAGGGCGCGUAGGUGGCUUGAUAAGCCGGUUGUGAAAGCCCCGGGCUCAACCUGGGAACGGCAUCCGGAACUGUCAAGCUAGAGUGCAGGAGAGGAAGGUAGAAUUCCCGGUGUAGCGGUGAAAGGCGUAGAGAUCGGGAGGAAUACCAGUGGCGAAGGCGGCCUUCUGGACUGACACUGACACUGAGGUGCGAAAGCGUGGGUAGCAAACAGGAUUAGAUACCCGUGUAGUC
rnacentral:rRNA from 1 species